rnacentral:rRNA from 1 species
UAGUCCACGCCGUAAACGAUGGAUACUAGAUGUCGGGGGCUCUUGCCCUUCCGGUGUCGUAGCUAACGCGUUAAGUAUCCCGCCUGUGGAGUACGGCCGCAAGGCUAAAACAUAAAGAAAUUGACGGGGGCCCGCACAAGCGGUGGAGUAUGUGGUUUAAUUCGAUGCAACGCGAAGAACCUUACCUGGAUUUGACAUCCCGUGCUACCCUGGGAAACUAGGGGUUCUCUUCGGAGACGCGGUGACAGGUGCUGCAUGGCUGUCGUCAGCUCGUGUCGUGAGAUGUUGGGUUAAGUCCCGCAACGAGCGCAACCCUUGCCAUUAGUUGCCAGCAUUUAGUUGGGCACUCUAAUGGGACCGCUUGCCGAUAAGGCAGAGGAAGGUGGGGAUGACGUCAAGUCCGCAUGGCCCUUACAUCCAGGGCUACACACGUACUACAAUGGCAGGUACAAUGCGCUGCGAAGUCGCGAGGCUAAGCAAAUCGCAAAAAGCCUGUCUCAGUUCGGAUUGG